GCUGGGCAUGGUGGUGUAUGCCUGUAAUCCCAGCAUCUUGGGAGGCUGAGACAGGAGGAUCGUGAGUUCAAAGCCAGCCUCAGCAAUGGUGAGGAGCUAGGCAAUUCAGUGAGACCCUGUCUCUA
rnacentral:sRNA from 1 species